rfam:Salmo salar isolate Sally breed double haploid chromosome ssa05, whole genome shotgun sequence.
UGCAUGUAGGACUGGAAGUCGCUUUGGAUAAAAGCGUCUGCUAAAUGGCAUUUU